UCGCACAAGCAGACAAUUUUUAUCUCGGCUUUAGCCGCUUUUCACUUUUCCCUAUUAAACCAAACAAACACUGAUAUGCAGAGAUAAAUAUAUAUAUUUGUAUAUAUUUAAUAUCCUCCAACAUAUGUAACAAAUGUAGGUAGUGGUAAAUAGGCAAUGCACAUGAAUGGAAGCACGCAAGUGUAGAAUGAGCACAGCAUACAAAUUGUAUGAUGGUUCUAGGACGCAAAAUUUGGAUCUGGUAAAUGCGGUGCACCAAUGCACUAAGAGCUCUGCUGCUUCUCGUUCUUGGACUAAUAAUAUUCGCUGAUUCGAUUCUCUGCGCUGUCCAGUAGAAAGCGUGACGGCUAGUAGAAAGGGACUACUACAGCAGAUUUAUUGCUCAAAUUGCCUGCAUUUCAACUUUAAAGAGGCUGAUGCAACCGUGGCGCUUUAAUAGUAGAAGCCGCCAGCCAGGGUCUCAACACUUAAAAUGUACAAACAUAUCAGUUAUAUGUAUGAAAAAAUUCAAGUGAAACUGUGUGCUAAAACAUUUUCUAUUCGUGCAACUAUUUAGGGUAUUUAGCUUUGAGAGCAAAACACUGAUUAUUUUAAAGCAAUAAAAUUUCGCACUUAAAAUCACAUUAUUUUUAUGUAAACAUUUAAUGAAAAGCGCUUGAAAUUAAUAGCAAAUAUUUACAAAUAAUUUAAAUAGUUGUCAUAAAUCGGUGCUUACAAACUAAUAUUUAGGCCACUUAUAUUAGUUUUUGCGAACACACACACGGACACGUUUAAAAGCGCUCUAUAAAAAUUUGCAUAAAACGCACACUUGCAAAAACUGCGUAUUUUAGGUACCACACAUACAUAUAUACAUUCACAGCACUUUAAUACGCAAAUCAAAUAAAUAAUUACCAAUAAAAAUUACCGAAAAGCAAUAAAAUUGAUCAAUAUUUGACUUUUAUGAUGCAAGC